rnacentral:rRNA from 1 species
AGGGUGCAAGCGUUAAUCGGAAUUACAGGGCGUAAAGCGCACGCAGGCGGUUUGUUAAGUCAGAUGUGAAAUCCCCGGGCUCAACCUGGGAACUGCAUCUGAUACUGGCAAGCUUGAGUCUCGUAGAGGGGGGUAGAAUUCCAGGUGUAGCAGGUGAAAUGCGUAGAGAUCUGGAGGAAUGCCGGUGGCGAAGGCGGCCCCCUGGACGAAGACUGACGCUCAGGUGCGAAAGCGUGGGGAGCAAACAGGAUUAGAUACCCUGGUAGU